AUCGACGCGUGAAAGCGAGUCCGACGCGAAAAGGAACGAAAGUCCCGUCGGCUCGUAGAAUCGAGUAGCGCUCGUUCGAUGCAUUUCCGAUGGGUAAGCGCCGUGACCGAUGCGAAUUUUCGGCUAGCGAAGCCGUCGGAUUGAGGGCGAGCUCGUUCGCGAGUCUCGUAACCAGUCCGUCGGUCGAAUAGAAAUCGUUAGACCGUAGCAUCGAGAAUGAGAGAGUUCGAACGUCGGCGAUUCGUACGCGCUCGCCUAAUACGACGGAUGUACGUUCGGUCGAUCGUCGCCUGCUCGCAGGUUUCGGUCGUAUCCUGUUCGUAUCGGAAAUCGUUGGCGACGUUUUACGACGUUCGGGUGUCCACGGCGUCCGAGUCGGUCGCCCGUCCGACCCGUCUUGAAACACGGACCAAGGAGUCUAACGUAAGCGCGAGCUAAUGGGCGGAAAACCCAUAAGCGCAAUAAAAGUAAAAGUCGUUUCGGACGGCUUAGGUACGAUCCCGCAGGGCGAAUAAUCCUCGGGCGCAGUACCGUCCCGUCCCGACCGCUCGUCGGUAGGGCGGAGAUAGAGUGCAUACGUUGGGACCCGAAAG
rnacentral:rRNA from 1 species